AGGUGAUAUGAACCGUUAUAACCGGCGAUACCCGAAUGGGGAAACCCAGUGUGACUCGUCACACUAUCAUUAACUGAAUCCAUAGGUUAAUGAGGCGAACCGGGGGAACUGAAACAUCUAAGUACCCCGAGGAAAAGAAAUCAACCGAGAUUCCCCCAGUAGCGGCGAGCGAACGGGGAGGAGCCCAGAGCCUGAAUCAGCAUGUGUGUUAGUGGAAGCGUCUGGAAAGGCGCGCGAUACAGGGUGACAGCCCCGUACACAAAAGCGCAUGUGCUGUGAGCUCGAUGAGUAGGGCGGGACACGUGGUAUCCUGUCUGAAUAUGGGGGGACCAUCCUCCAAGGCUAAAUACUCCUGACUGACCGAUAGUGAACCAGUACCGUGAGGGAAAGGCGAAAAGAACCCCGGCGAGGGGAGUGAAAAAGAACCUGAAACCGUGUACGUACAAGCAGUGGGAGCCCCACCACUAAGCCAGUGGUGAACUCCACAUACGCAUCCUUUGCUGAGGAUACGGUUAACGGAGCGAAAGCGACGUUCAACCUCAAAAGAAGCAGAGGGGGCUUAGUGGUGGGGUGACUGCGUACCUUUUGUAUAAUGGGUCAGCGACUUAUAUUCUGUAGCAAG
rnacentral:rRNA from 1 species